GGAGGGAAGAGGAGGAGAAAAAUGGAAUUGUAUCUGAAUAAAGCUUAUUUAAACAAACAUAAGUUUGCUUUGCGUUUAUGAGGGAAACAGCUAUAAAACAUUUGGCAACGAGAUUUUGAACCAGCUGUGUGUGUGAGCCUCCAAAGCUUGCUUAUUCCUGAAUUGCUGCAUUCUAAUACCGCUGCGGCUGAUUGUUUCUCCAGCUUCCUGAUCUGCACAACCCUUGAAGGGACUUUCCCCUCAUCAAUCCUGGACUCUGUUGUUCACUGGAUGGCUACUGCAGCAGCAUGGCUCAAAUCCCGCCAUCAUUUUUUCUUCUGCUCCAGCCCACGAGAACCUGCUCUUCCGUGGAAACAGUGGCGGUCCUAUUUCUGCAAUUACCCAUUCACUUGUACAGACCCGUGAUUUUACUCCUGCAAAGCAGACGGCUAUAUUGCUUCACUUCCUGGGCCCUGAAGGCCAAAGAAUAUAUAAUCAUUUGCUGUUUCCUACAAACUUGGAGGCAGGGGCACACCUAGGCAAUUUGGGUGCCUGGACCUGAAGGGCUUCGGAGGGCCCUCUAAUGCUGACUGUCAGACUCCCAGCAAAUGAGGUGGGCUCCUGGCCCUUCUUGAACUCCAGAAUGACUGGGUAGGCACAGACAAGGUCAGCUUCAGGAACAGCCAGGGGAGAAGUUUCAUCAUGUACAUGCUUAGGGAGGAAAAAUCAAUUGAAGCUUAAGGAGAAUGACUCUCAUUUCACAACCCAGAGAAAAUUUGUUCAUUGGCUGCAAUCCCAGGAAAGUUAUUUGGUACUUCA